GACGAACGCUGGCGGCGUGCUUAACACAUGCAAGUCGAACGGAGUGCUCGUGAUAGAGGUUUCGGCCAAUUGAUUGAGUUACUUAGUGGCGGACAGGUGAGUAACGCGUGAGGAACCUGCCUUUCAGAGGGGGACAACAGUUGGAAACGACUGCUAAUACCGAAUACGUUCUCUUUAUCGCAUGGCAGAGGGAAGAAAGGGAGGCUCUUCGGAGCUUUCGCUGAAGGAGGGGCUUGCGUCUGAUUAGCUAGUUGGAGGGGUAACGGCCCACCAAGGCGACGAUCAGUAGCCGGUCUGAGAGGAUGAACGGCCACAUUGGGACUGAGACACGGCCCAAACUCCUACGGGAGGCAGCAGUGGGGAAUAUUGCACAAUGGGCGAAAGCCUGAUGCAGCAACGCCGCGUGAAGGAUGAAGGUCUUCGGAUUGUAAACUUCUAUCAGCAGGAGAAAAAAUGACGGUAACCUGACUAAGAAGACACCGG
rnacentral:rRNA from 1 species